CCUACGGGAGGCUGCAGUGGGGAAUAUUGGACAAUGGGCGAAAGCCUGAUCCAGCCAUGCCGCGUGUGUGAAGAAGGCCUUCGGGUUGUAAAGCACUUUCAGUGGGGAAGAAAGCCUUGGGGCUAAUACCCUCGAGGAAGGACAUCACCCACAGAAGAAGCACUGGCUAACUCCGUGCCAGCAGCCGCGGUAAUACGGAGGGUGCGAGCGUUAAUCGGAAUUACUGGGCGUAAAGCGCGCGUAGGCGGUCUGAUAAGCCGGUUGUGAAAGCCCCGGGCUCAACCUGGGAACGGCAUCCGGAACUGUCAGGCUAGAGUGCAGGAGAGGAAGGUAGAAUUCCCGGUGUAGCGGUGAAAUGCGUAGAGAUCGGGAGGAAUACCAGUGGCGAAGGCGGCCUUCUGGACUGACACUGACGCUGAGGUGCGAAAGCGUGGGUAGCAAACAGGAUUAGAUACCCGAGUAGUC
rnacentral:rRNA from 1 species